rnacentral:rRNA from 1 species
UACGGAGGGGGCGAGCGUUAUUCGGAAUUAUUGGGCGUAAAGGGCGCGUAGGCGGCUUGGCAAGUCAAAGGUGAAAUCCCUCGGCUCAACUGAGGAACUGCCUUUGAAACUGCCUGGCUUGAGGCCGGGAGGGGGUAGCGGAAUUCCCAGUGUAGCGGUGAAAUGCGUAGAUAUCGGGAGGAACACCAGUGGCGAAGGCGGGCAUCUGGGCCAACACUGACGCUGAGGCGCGAAAGCGUGGGGAGCGAACAGG